GAGCUAGAGCAGCUCACAAACUAAACACAGAGAGCACUAGCAAGAGGCCCUGCACAAGGAUGAUACAGAAAUCUGUGAAAAAUCAAAUAUUUUU
ensembl:snRNA U6 U6 spliceosomal RNA